CCAAUAGCGUAUAUUAAAGUUGUUGCAGUUAAAAAGCUCGUAGUUGAAUUUCGGGAUUAGUGCGCCGGUCGUGCCUUCGGUAUGUACUGGUGUUACUGGUUCCUACCUUCGGACGAACCGUCAUGUCAUUAAUUUGGUGUGGCGGGGAAUCAGGACUGUUACUUUGAAAAAAUUAGAGUGUUUAAAGCAGGCUCGCGCUUGAAUACAUUAGCAUGGAAUAAUGAAAUAGGACGUUCGAUCCUAUUUUGUUGGUUUCUAGGAUUGACGUAAUGAUUAAUAGGGAUAGUUGGGGGCAUUAGUAUUCAAUUGUCAGAGGUGAAAUUCUUGGAUUUAUUGAAGACUAACUACUGCGAAAGCAUUUGCCAAGGAUGUUUUCAUUAAUCAAGAACGAAAGUUAGGGGAUCGAAGACGAUCAGAUACCGUCGUAGUCUUAGCCAUAAACUAUGCCGACUAGGGAUCGGAUGAUGUUAUUUUUAAUGACUCAUUCGGCGCCUUACG
rnacentral:rRNA from 1 species